GACGAACGCUGGCGGCGUGCCUAAUACAUGCAAGUAGAACGCUGAAGGAGGAGCUUGCUCUUCUGGAUGAGUUGCGAACGGGUGAGUAACGCGUAGGUAACCUGCCUGGUAGCGGGGGAUAACUAUUGGAAACGAUAGCUAAUACCGCAUAAGAGUAGAUGUUGCAUGACAUUUACUUAAAAGGUGCAAUUGCAUCACUACCAGAUGGACCUGCGUUGUAUUAGCUAGUUGGUGGGGUAACGGCUUACCAAGGCGACGAUACAUAGCCGACCUGAGAGGGUGAUCGGCCACACUGGGACUGAGACACGGCCCAGACUCCUACGGGAGGCAGCAGUAGGGAAUCUUCGGCAAUGGACGGAAGUCUGACCGAGCAACGCCGCGUGAGUGAAGAAGGUUUUCGGAUCGUAAAGCUCUGUUGUAAGAGAAGAACGAGUGUGAGAGUGGAAAGUUCACACUGUGACGGCAUCUUACCAGAAAGGGACGGCUAACUACGUG
rnacentral:rRNA from 1 species